UACGAAGGGUGCAAACGUUGCUCGGAAUUAUUGGGCGUAAAGCGCACGUAGGCGGCAUUGCAAGUCGGAUGUGAAAUCUUAUGGCUUAACCAUAAAAGUGCAUCCGAAACUGCAGUGCUUGAGUACUUAAGAGGAUCGCGGAAUUCCCGGUGUAGAGGUGAAAUUCGUAGAUAUCAGGAGGAACACCGGUGGCGAAGGCGGUUCUCUGGGCCUGUACUGACGCUGAGGAACGAAAGCGUGGGGAGCGAACAGG
rnacentral:rRNA from 1 species